rnacentral:rRNA from 1 species
AUUGAACGCUGGCGGAAUGCUUUACACAUGCAAGUCGAACGGCAGCACGGGGGCAACCCUGGUGGCGAGUGGCGAACGGGUGAGUAAUACAUCGGAACGUGCCCAGUCGUGGGGGAUAACGUAGCGAAAGUUACGCUAAUACCGCAUACGAUCUACGGAUGAAAGCGGGGGACCGUAAGGCAUCGCGCGAUUGGAGCGGCCGAUGUCAGAUUAUGUAGUUGGUGAGGUAAAGGCUCACCCAGCCGACGAUCUGUGGCUGGUCUGAGAGGACGACCAGCCACACUGGGACUGAGACACGGCCCAGACUCCUACGGGAGGCAGCAGUGGGGAAUUUUGGACAAUGGGCGCAAGCCUGAUCCAGCCAUUCCGCGUGCAGGACGAAGGCCUUCGGGUUGUAAACUGCUUUUGUACGGAACGAAAAGGCUCUGGUUAAUACCUGGGGCUCAUGACGGUACCGUAAGAAUAAGCACCGGCUAACUACGUGCCAGCCGCCGCGGUAA